UCCGGAGGGGGCUAUCGUUGUUCGGAAUUACUGGGCGUAAAGCGCACGUAGGCGGAUUGUUAAGUCGGGGGUGAAAUCCCGGGGCUCAACCCCGGAACUGCCUUCGAUACUGGCAAUCUAGAGUUCUGGAGAGGUGAGUGGAAUUCCGAGUGUAGAGGUGAAAUUCGUAGAUAUUCGGAGGAACACCAGUGGCGAAGGCGGCUCACUGGCCAGACACUGACGCUGAGGUGCGAAAGCGUGGGGAGCAAACAGG
rnacentral:rRNA from 1 species